rnacentral:rRNA from 1 species
GACGAACGCUGGCGGCGUGCUUAACACAUGCAAGUCGAGCGGUAAGGCCCUUUCGGGGGGUACACGAGCGGCGAACGGGUGAGUAACACGUGGGUGACCUGCCCUUAGCUCUGGGAUAAGCCUGGGAAACUGGGUCUAAUACCGGAUAUGACUCCAUAACGCAUGUUGUGGGGUGGAAAGCCUUGUGCGGCUAGGGAUGGGCCCGCGGCCUAUCAGCUUGUUGGUGGGGUGAUGGCCUACCAAGGCGACGACGGGUAGCCGGCCUGAGAGGGCGACCGGCCACACUGGGAUUGAGACACGGCCCAGACUCCUACGGGAGGCAGCAGUGGGGAAUCUUGCGCAAUGGGCGAAAGCCUGACGCAGCGACGCCGCGUGGGGA